rnacentral:rRNA from 1 species
CACCGGCGGCUCGAGUGGGGGCCACUUUUAUUGGGUCUAAAGCGUCCGUAGCCGGCUUGGCAAGUCCCCUGGCAAAUCUGGCGGCUUAACCGUCAGGCGUCCAGAGGAUACUGCCAGGCUUGGGACCGGGAGAGGUGAGAGGUACCUCAGGGGUAGGGGUGAAAUCUUGUGAUCCCUGAGGGACCACCAGUGGCGAAGGCGUCUCACUAGAACGGGUCCGACGGUCAGGGACGAAAGCUGGGGGCACGAACCGG